rnacentral:rRNA from 1 species
CAAUGUGCGAAAGCACGAUGAGGGGAUCCCAAGUGCUGGCACGUAAGUGUCAGCUGUUUCUUAGUCUAAAAAACUGAGAGAGUAAGGGCUGGGUAAGACGGGUGCCAGCCGCCGCGGUAAUACCUGCAGCUCAAGUGGUGGCCGCUAUUAUUGGGCCUAAAACGUCCGUAGCCUGUUUAGUAAAUGCUUGGGUAAAUUGUGUAGCUUAACUAUACGAAUACCGGGUAGACUGCUAAACUUGGGACCGGGAGAGGCUAGAGGUACUCCUGGGGUAGAGGUGAAAUUCUGUAAUCCUAGGGGGACCACCAGUGGCGAAGGCGUCUAGCUAGAACGGGUCUGACGGUGAGGGACGAAGCCCUGGGGCGCAAACCGGAUUAGAUACCCGGGUAGUCCAGGGUGUAAACGCUGCUUGCUUGAUGUUAGUUGGGCUCCGAGCCCAACUAGUGUCGGAGAGAAGUUGUUAAGCAAGCUGCCUGGGAAGUACGGUCGCAAGACUG